UCCUGGCUGGCUCAGUUGGUAGAGCACAUGACUCUUGAUCUUGGGGUUGUGAGUUCAAGUCCCCCAUUGGGUG
rnacentral:tRNA from 1 species